CAAUAAUUAAUUCAGUCCUGAUACUACUGUUUUUAAAUGAUAUUCAUUGUCAGACCUUCACUCAGUCUGAAGCUGUGGUAAAAAGACCAGGUGAAUCUUUUCGUCUGGUCUGUACUGCCUCUGGAUAUUCAUUCAGCGGCUACUGGGCAGGUGUAGUGAGACAGGCACCCGGUAAAGGACUGGAAUGGGUUUCAACUAUCGGCACGUCCAGUUCUCCAAUCUACUAUUCCCAGUCAGUUCAGGGAAGGUUCACAGUGUCCAGAGAUGAUUCCAGCAGUCAACUGUAUCUACAGAUGAACAGCCUCAAGACUGAAGACACUCCUGUGUAUUACUGUGCUAGAGAGUCACAGUGAAUGAGUUCAGUGUCAAAGCAAUACAAAAACCACCUUCACUGUUGACUUCACUGAU